rnacentral:snRNA from 1 species
UACUCUGGUUUCUCUUCAGACUGUAUAAAUCUUUCGCCUUUUACUAAAGAUUUCGGUGGAAACUACCCAGCCAAGAAGCUGAACAAAC